AGGGGGGCGCAGUGGUGCUGCUUCCGGCCGCUGAGCUCCACGGUGGGGAUGCCCUCCAUGAUGCGGUAGUCGGCCAGGAACGGAGCCACCAUGUCGUCUGUGACGGGGAACUUGUCUGGGAUCCGCGUGCAGCGGCGGAUCAGGCCGGGGUUGACGCCGUUGAGGUACUGGUACCCAAAGAAGGUGUCCUCUGCCCAGUGCUCGGCCACGUACUCUGCGAGGACGGCGCGAGGGCGUCACAAGGAGGCCCGGCCCCCCUCGGGGACGGAGAGGCAUGGGACAGAAGAAGACUAUGGGCACCGAGAGGAGUCGGGGAGGAAAACGAGGCCCCCAGCCUGGCGCUGAGCGGCCGGAGGAGCCCGGUGCGACAUUUUCCAAGAAGCCGCCAGAGGGCGCGCGCGCGCCUCGCUGCCUCUCCCGUCCCACUGCCCCGAAGUCGGGGGCCUGCCUAGCACGCCGGAGACCGCCUGGCUCCCCCUGCUCGAUCCGGGACGCCCCAUUCCAUACCGGAGACGACAGAUUUCUUGCCAGGGAAAAUUUUCCUAAUGUCCUUCAGCCUCUUCCACGAAUGUUUGCAGUCCAACAGGCCGCGGACUUUGAAAGCCAGUGCCCUAGGAGAUGGGAUUCCAGGAAGAGGCCUUCAGAGGGGCUGCCAAGCGCCGGCUGGGGCAGGUGGCGGGGCCGCCCCAUCCACUUAGGUCUCUGGGUCUCAGGGUCUGUGCGUCGCAAAGUCUCUGGGUCCCAUGUCUCAAGAUCUUUGCAUCUCUAGGUCUCUGGGAUCAUGUCUCAGGUUUUCUGGGUCUGCGUUUCAGCUCCCUCUGCCUUCCUGGCCAUUCCAACCUCUGGGGCUGUCUUGGAGGCCGCCAAGGUUGGGGGAGAGGGAAAGUUCUUGCAGGAGCCCUCGUUCUCCCGUCACUCACACGGACUCACAUGGGCCCCAGGCGGACGAAGAAGGAGGCCGUCUUGAGGAAGGAGUAGCGGAGAUUUAAGUUCAGGAACUUGGUGGCCUUAAAGUUGAUGAGAAUUGGGAAUCCCGGAAUAUAGCCAUUCCACCUGUGGGGAGAAGCGCAGGGCAACUGGGAUCCAGGGGGCGGGGAGGAGGCAGGCGCCCAGGGGAAAACCAUGGGCGGGGCCCAGCACAGCUUCGGGUCCUUACUCAGGCCGGUUGGGGUUGCGAUGCCUCCGCACCGGAGGGCGGUAACUGGGAAUGUGCACAUAGCUGGGCAGGCCAGGAAGAAAGACUCGCCAGCUGCAAGGGAAACCGAGAUGUCACCCUCAUGCCCGUGCACCACCCCAGGGCAAAGGGCCAGAGCCAUCACUGCCCCCCACCUCCCUGGACCCCUGCCGGGCGCCCAGACUCUGCCACCCGCCCCCUCACUGGUAGAAGUCCUGCUUGGCUCUGAUCUCCUCUUUUCUGUGCUCCAGGAGGACGGGGAGCGAGUCAUCUGCUGUUGUCUUUCCUGUAGGGAGACCAAGGAGAGGACUCAAGGGCUGACCCUUGCCCCUGCCCACUUCAGGAAGCAGGAGUUCAGCUUCUGUGCCCCAGGUCGUCUCUGGGGGGGCCCAUGACCAAGGAGUGGGAAGGCUCACCUUGGGAGAGUGAAGGUGCGUCCUGUCCGGAAAUAUCAGAUAAAAGAAUCACGGACCCACCCUCUUUCCUCUUGCUCUACUGUCAAGCUAAGCUCUGCUGCUGCAAAAAGUCCCUCCUCUAGACCCACUGAAAUAUUUUUUAUUUCUAUAAAUUCAUGGAGUACAAGAGCAAUGUUGUUACAUGCAUAGUGGCCAAGUUAGGGCUUUAGGUUACCCAUCACCCAAAUAAAGUAUAUUGUACCCAUUAAGUAAUUUCUCAUCAUCCACCCCCUCCCAUCCUCUCACCCUUGAGAGUCUCCAUUGUCUAUUGUUUUGCUAUGUCCAUGUGUACACAUUUUUUUUUUAAUGGAGUCUCGUUCUUGUCACCCAGCCUGGAAUGCAAUGGCAUGAUCUCGGCUCACUGCAACCUCUGCCUCCUGGGUUCAAGCGAUUCUGCUGCCUCAGUGUCCGGAGUAGGUGGGAUUACAGGUGCCUGCCACCAUGCCCGGCUACUUUUUGUAUUUUUAGUAGACACGUGGUUUCGCCAUGUUGUCCAGGGUGGUCUCGAACUCCUGACCUCAGGUCAUCUGCACGCCUCUGCCUCCCAAAGUGCUGGGAUUAUAGGUGUGAGCCACCACACCUGGCCCAUGUGUACACAUUUUUUAACACCCAUUUAUGGGUGAGAACAUUCGGUAUUUGACUUUCUGGUCUGGCUUGUUUCACUUAAGAUAAUGACUUCUAGUUCCAUCCAUGUUGCUGCAAAUGACAUGAUUUCAUUUUUUUCAUGACUGAAUAGUAUUCCACUGUGUAUAUAUACCACAUUUUCUUUAUCCAGUCAUCCAUUAGGGCACUUAGGGUGAUUCCAUAUCUUUGCUAGUGUGAAUAGCGCCACAAUAAAUAAGGCAUCUUUUUGAUAUGUUGAUUUCUUUUCCUUUGGGUAUAUACCACUGAAAUAUUAAUAACUGACAGUUGUUUAGCACUUACUAGGUCCCAGGUAUUGGGAAAAGGGCUUGUGGGGUGCCUGUAUAAACUGGCCAUAAAAAUAUGUGACAGUAAGCUGUGGAAAGUCACAAAAGGCCUCUGAGGAGGAAAGCGUUCUUAUCGCCAUUAUGUUCCCAUGCUCUGAGCGUUAACCUGCUGUCUUAUCUAUAAACACUGUGUUCAAGGAGAAAGACACUCCUUUGAAACCUGGAAGGUGGACAGACGCGCAGGCUCCUAGUUAAGCCUGUUCCCACUAGCUGCUCUCCGAUAAGUUAAAGAUGUGCUGUUUGAGCACAAAGGAGAUUCGUUUAAACCGCUAUUGCUAUAGAUUACGCCUGUGACGCACUGCCUCCCUUUCAGUGUUUCACCCUGAACAUCUGCUUCUUAGAUCUAAGUGACUGUACUCAAUAAAUAGUGUGGAGACCAGAACUCUGGGCCUUUUGCAGCCUCCAUUUUGCAACUGCCUCCCUGGCCCCCACUCUUUUUGCACUCUUAACCUGUCUCUUCUCAUUCCUUCGUCACCACCGGACUUUGGGUACCCUACAGGUGGUGUUGAGGCUGGUCCCCAACACCAGGCACUUUGUAGACACUUUACUUUUAUUAAUCUAAGCCUAAGAAGCACCCUAUGAGGCAGGUGACUAUUACUAUAGGCUGGUGACCCCUUCGUCACAACUGCAAAGUACAGAAAGCUGUGGAAAUCAAGUUUGUCUGUUUGUUCCACAACAAAUUCAUUGGUUGACAAAGCCUGCUGUGAAUCUCCCUGAGGCUAUAUACAAUCUUUAUUUAACUCACUGGGUCUAACUAUUCAUAGUUUUUACUGGGAAGUGUUAGUAUAUUUGAUUGGGGUGCCCUGUGGUAGAUAUAGCACAUAAUAUAUGGGGUAUGUGUGUGAUAUAGAUUUAUAGAUGAAGAUAUAUAUGUAUACAUAUACAUAUUUUAUAUAAACAUACACACAUGUGUACAGAUACAUGUGUAUGUAGCUUCUCAAUAAAAUCCGAAUUUCAAAGCA